CUCAGUGCAGGCUGUACCUCUGAACCAACAUGAAGCUACUGCUCGGAGACCUGUGCCUCUGCUUGGUUGUGGCUCUCUCGCUCUUCUUCCCUGGGAGCAGAGCAAGUCAUCACUGGACAUUUCGGGUGCCUAGGAGCUCGGCCUGCUGUAAAUGAGCAAUAAGAGAAAGGGAAUUGUGAUGUUGAGAGAGGGAAGAGGUUGUACGGGAUCAACACAGAACAACAAAAUUAUCCUGAGAGCAUAAAUUCAAAGGGCUGAAGGACUGGUCUGCUACGGCUAACUAGCUUUACUCUCCAGGGGCCAUGCACAAUCCUGAUUUGAUGGAGACGGAUAUGAGAAGCAUGGAGGAACAUCUGGAGAAACUUCUGAAAUGCCUGUUUUGCUGCUGCUGCUACCGUGCGACCUCCAGAGGGGAAGGCCCCAAAUCCUCAGUUUUGCCUGUUGCUGGCAGCCAGGGCUGGGGUCGAAGCGCUUGGUAGAGAUGACGCUCGGUGCUCGGUGUCGGAGGGCUGUCAGAGGCUCGAAGUUUUCGGAUGGAUUGAGAGUCGGACUGUGGUCGGGUGCUUCCAGGGUGCUGCAUUGGCAAGUUUGCAGCACUGGAAGCUCAUGGCAGGGAGAGUUUUUCUUCCUUCUACCGUCUGCAUGAGAUGAUGGGACUUUCGAGAGACUUUCAGACUUUUUUUUAUCAUGCCCAUGGUCUGUUCUAUCAAAUUACGGUAUUGUUUGCACUGUUGUAACUAUAUGUUAUAAUUAUGUGGUUUUUGUCAGUUUUUCAGUCUUGGUCUGUCUUGUGUUUCUGUGAUAUCACACUGGAGGAACACUGUAUCAUUUCUUAAUGCAUGCAUUACUAAAUGACAAUAAAAGAGGACUGCGUGUCCUCAUAAUCUAAUCUAAUCUAAAUCUCCUCUGCACCCUUUCUAUGGUUUCCACAUCCUUCCUAUAGUGAAGCGACCAGAACUGAGCACAGUACUGCAAAUGGGUCCUAUAUAGCUGCAACAUUACCUCUCAGCUCCUAAACUUAGUCCCACAAUUGAUAAAGGCCAAUGCACCAUCUGCUUUCUUAACCACAGGGUCAACCUGUGCAGCAGCUUUGAGUGCCCUAUGGACUCUGACCCCGAGAUCCCUCUGAUAGAGUAAAUGCAAGCAGGCUUUUUUCCAUGGAGGUUGGGUGGGACAACUAUCCAAGGCAUCUGUUAGUUAUCCAUGGCUGGCUCUCCACACCCUUACUGUCCUUGCUUUUAACUGGAAUAUACUUUUGUUGAGCACCGUGAAGAAUCUCUUUGAAAGUCUCCCACUGUUCCUCAACUGUCCCACCAUCUAGCCUGUAUUUCCAGUUUAUCCUAACCAACUCUUCUCUCCUCCCUUUGUAGCCUCCCUUGUUUAGGCAUAAUACACAGGUUUUAGAUCGAACUAUUGCACCUUCUAUUUGUAUGAGAAACUUAAUCAUGCUGUGAUCACCCUUUCCAAGAGGAUCCCCAGCUGCAAGAUCACUAAUUUUACCUGUAUUAUUGCACAGGAUCAGAUCUAAGAUAACACGUUCCCUUGUAGGUUCAGUAACAUGCUGUUCAAGAAAGCCAUCAUGGACGCAUUCUAUGAAAUCUUCCUCAAAACUGCCUUGACCAACUUGAUUCACCCAAUCUGUGCAAGUUAAAGUCCCCCAUGAUAACUGCUGUUCCAUUCUCAUAUGCCUCAGAUUUUUCUCUGUUUAUUGCCUGUGUCACUGUAAUGUUACUAUUCGGUGGCUGAUAGACAACUCACACUGGUGAUUUUUUUCCCUUUACUAUUCCGAAUCUCUACCUAGAUGGAUUCAACAUUCUGCUCCUUAGAUCUUAUAUUGUCUCUCACUAUCGCCCUGAUCUCAUCCUUAAUUCCAAUUUGUCUAAGUCCUGCUACAAUCACAUUGCUUCCUCAGCACUACCUACCCCUCCACUUAUCUUUGUAUCAUCUGCAGACUUUGCCACAAAACCAUCAAUUCCAUUAUCUAAAUCAGUGACAGACAAUGUGAAGAGUAGUGGUCCCACUACUGACCCCUGAGGAACACCACUAGUCACUGGCAGCCAACCAGAAAAGGUCCCCUUUAUUCCCACUCACUGCCUCCUGCACGUCACCCAUUUCUCUAUCCAUGACAGUAUCUUUCCUGUAACGCCAUAGGAAUUUAUCUUGUUAAGCGGCUUCAUGUGUGGCUCCUUAUGUGUGGAUACCAGUAAAUGAUAUCCACUGCCUCUCCUUUGUCCUCCCUGCUUUUUACUUCCUCAAAGAACUCUAACAGAUUUGUCAGACAAGAUUUCCUUUGACGGAAACCAUGCUGACUUUGACUUAUUUUAUCAUUAGUCUCCAAGUCCCCUGAAACCUCAUCCUUAUUAUAGAGUCCAACACUUUCCCAACCACUGAGGUGAUGCUAACUGGCCUACAAUUUCCUUUUUUUUCACUUUCCUCCCUUCUUAAAGAGUGGAGUGACAUUUGCAAUCUUCCAGUCCUCUGGGACCAUGCCAGAAUCAAGUGAUUCUUGAAAGAUCAUGACCAAUACAUCCGUUAUCUCUUCAGCAACUUCUCUCAUGACUCUGAGUUAUAGUCCACCUAGUCCAGAUGACUUAUCCACCUUAAGACCUUUAAUUUUGCCUUGCAGUUUUUCCUCUGUAAUAGCAAUGGCACUUACUUCUGCUGUAAGACACUCACAGACUCCUGGCACUCUGCUGCUGUCUUCCAGAAUGAAGACUGAUGCCAAGUACCCAUUAAGUUCAUCUGCCAUUUCAUCGUCCCCAUUACUACCUCACCAGCAUCACUUUCCAGUGACCCUCACCUCCCUUUUACUCUUUAUAUAACUGAAAAAUCAACAGGGAAGUAAACUGCUUGAGCAGGAGGGAAGAUCGCGACGGAAAACUAUCAGGAUUUGUAAUGUUCCUGAAGGAGCGGAGGGAUUGUUGAUGAUGGAGUUUGUAGACAAGUUGCUGAGGGAAGCGCUGGAGGUUCAUAGUGAUAGUCAUACUUUAUUGAUCCCGGGGGAAAUUGGUUAAUUCCCCAGACUAUGGAGAUUGAAAUUGAGAGGGCGCAUCGUUCGCUCGUCCUGAGAUCUCCCGGAGACAGAGAAAGUAAACCGCGUUCAAUAGUACUGAGUUUCCUUCGAUUUAAGAGCAAGGUGGAGAUUCUACGAAGGGGCCUGGGGUAAGAAGAGGGUUUUUGGAACAGGAAGUUAAUAUAUUUCGAUCAUGAUUACCCUCCGGCCGUCCUACAGAAAUGGAAGGAAUAUUCCGAAGCGAAAUUAAUAUUAAAGCAAGAAAAGAUUAAAUUCUAAACCCCGUAUCCUGCUAAACUGAGAGUAUCUUACGCAGGUGGGAUACAGCAAUAUCAGACGGUGGAAGAGGCGACUACAGACAUGAACAACAGAGGACUGCCCAUUAGCAUGGUCAAACCAAGGGAAAGUCUGGUUGAGCAGUUAUCCCGAUCUGCGUGGGAAAUAAUAAGAGAACCGAGAAAGCAUCGGACGGGAGGGGGACGAGAGAAGGAUAUUAGGAAGAGACUGUGAGUUCUCCGAGGGCAGCCCUCACCUCCUCCAGAAGAGCCAUAAGGUUUGACUAACUUUAAAAGGGCUGAUAAACUAAACGGAAGCAAAAACAGACGGUGAUAUACCAAUCUCAAGAAAUACAUAUCAUAAUGUGGAUUUUAUAUUACUCAAUUUUUUUUUAUUCGUUCACUCACUCCUUUUUCCCCACCUAAAUGAGAAUAUAUACAUGGGAGGAAUACACAGGGAAAUCAUUUCUGUGUAAUGGACAUAGAUUUUUUU